CGGCUAACUCCGUGCCAGCAGCCGCGGUAAUACGGAGGAUUCAAGCGUUAUCCGGAUUUAUUGGGUUUAAAGGGUGCGUAGGCGGUUUGAUAAGUUAGAGGUGAAAUUUCGGGGCUCAACCCUGAACGUGCCUCUAAUACUGUUGAGCUAGAGAGUAGUUGCGGUAGGCGGAAUGUAUGGUGUAGCGGUGAAAUGCUUAGAGAUCAUACAGAAAACCGAUUGCGAAGGGCAGCUAACCAACUAUAUCUGACGUUGAAGCACGAAAGCGUGGGGGAGCAAACAGGGAUUAGAUACCCUGGCUAGCCCCACUGGAAAACAAUGAUUACUAGGUGUGGGAAGAAUUGACCCCUUCAGUGCCGCAGUUAACACAAUAAGUAAUCCACCUGGGGAGUACGACCGCAAGGUUGAAACUCAAAGGAAUUGACGGGGGCCCGCACAAGCAGUGGAGUAUGUGGUUUAAUUCGACGCAACGCGAAGAACCUUACCAAGUCUUGACAUCCUGCGACGGUGCUGGAAACAGUACUUUCCUUCGGGACGCAGAGACAGGUGGUGCAUGGUUGUCGUCAGCUCGUGUCGUGAGAUGUUGGGUUAAGUCCCGCAACGAGCGCAACCCUUAUGGUCAGUUACUACGUAAGAGGACUCUGGCCAGACUGCCGUUGACAAAACGGAGGAAGGUGGGGAUGACGUCAAAUCAUCAUGCCCUUUAUGACUUGGGCUACACACGUACUACAAUGGCGUUAAACAAAGAGAAGCAAGACCGCGAGGUGGAGCAAAACUCAGAAACAACGUCCCAGUUCGGACUGCAGGCUGCAACUCGCCUGCACGAAGUCGGAAUUGCUAGUAAUCGCAGAUCAGCAUGCUGCGGUGAAUACGUUCCCGGGCCUUGUACACACCGCCCGUCA
rnacentral:rRNA from 1 species